rnacentral:lncRNA from 1 species
GUUGGUGAUAGCUGAGGGUACUUUAGCCAGGUUUACAUGGUGAAGAAGUUGAUAUGUAUAGUAGAUUGUAGAUGAUUUGUGGUCAGUAUAAUUUUGCUAACUCACUCUCUUACAGUAUGUUCUGUUGCUGGGUGUUCUGUCUUACCUCUGUCACUAGUUUUACUAUUGAGAAAUAAUUUCUUCCCUAUAGAAACAUGUCUAUGGCUUCUUCCCAGGAAGUAAUAUUUUGUAAAUUACUGCUUAAAUGAAUAAAUAUGCUAGUCUUCAAAUAUUUGAUUUCAGGAUAUGUAGUAUAAAGGUUAUGCCUUUACAUUCUUAGGUAACUUGACCGACAAGAAAUU